rnacentral:tRNA from 1 species
AACAGGAAAGUCUGUUAUGAUAUGGGGCUUAUGACUCCUUGGCGAUGUAUAUAUAUCUUCUGUUA